rnacentral:lncRNA from 1 species
CGCUGCCUCGCUCCGAGCACCAGGUCCGCACUCCCUCCGGAAUCCUGUGGAAGAGCAGGCCGGGGAACCGGGGCUCCUGGGUCUGAGGGAGGAGGGAGUUAGGGUUCCCUAGUCUUUUCUCCACUUCUGUCCGAAACUGGAGUUUCGUCCAGUUUGGGAGGGUUUUGUUCUGAGCUACUGUGAAGAGAAGAAAUUUAGGUACUAAGGGGUCAAAUAAUCGCUUGUCCCAGAUCUCUCUUUCCCAGGACCCGUGUCCAGCCCCCCUCACCUCCUUCCCCAGGACCGUACCUCCCCGCCUCCGCCCUGGGGGAUAUAGUUUUUCUUACCCGGGGCCUUCUCCAUCACCUCUCUCCCAGCCACCUGCCCCGCGCCUGCGCCUUCCCCAGUCCCUCUAGUCUGACCCUAGCGCCCCUCCAGGUGGUGGCGGUAGCAGCCCGCGACCUGAGCCGGGCGAAGGAAUUUGCGCGGAAACAUGACAUCCCCAAGGCCUAUGGGUCCUAUGAGGAGCUGGCCAAAGACCCGAAUGUGGGUGAGUGACAAGGGCCUCCGAGGCCCCCGCGGCGCUGCCUCUAGCUAGGCUGCUCCGUAGGAUAAGCAAGGCUCUGCGGGAUGGGCCAAUCCCUGUGUGCUUCUGGAAGGAUCUGGGGCUGGCAGGCAGAACUCUUAAGAACGGGCUUGGUCUGGGAUUAGCGGCCUGGUAUGAAAUUGCAUUUAAGGACCAGUCCAGGAGGGGCUUGAGUUUCUAAGAGAGCCCUUUCAGGCUUUAAGUAAGCUCUGGGGCCAGGACUGCUGUGUUCUGGAAUGGCCUGGAUGGAAAGGCAAGACAGUGUAGUUGCACAGCAGCCUGACCGGAGUUAAGCUGCCUCAGCUGGUAAAAUAAUGGUAUCUACCUCUUGGCGUAGAACUUUGCCCAAGGUCUUAGGAUGUUGGGGGCGGGAGCACUACGUUGGGGGCGGGUCCUGGAAGUCCGGGGUGGGCUGGGCUUCUGAUCUCUUGACCUUCUCCCUUCCAACUAGAGGUGGCCUACAUUGGCACUCAGCAUCCCCAGCACAAGGCCGCGGUGUUACUAUGCCUGGCAGGGGGCAAGGCCGUCCUGUGUGAGAAGCCCAUGGGCGUGAACGCUGCGGAAGUUCGAGAAAUGGUUGCCGAAGCCCGGUCCCGAGGUCUCUUCCUUAUGGAGGUGAGGGUGCGACCUUCCAACCUCCAAUGUAGCGCUUGUCGCCAUUACUAAACAUGGUUGCCAGUGGACGUUUUUGGAAGAACACAAAGGCAGGGUUUGUCAAGAAUUAAGUUGUCCACAAAGUGCACUGGGGUUGGUGUGUUUUCCCGGACGUGGCUGAGCGAUGCCAUGAAACCUACUAGCAACAUCUAUGAGGAGUGAGAGCCAUUGCUUUUGGCCGUUAGCAAACAUGGCAGCCUGAAAGAUCUUUGCUCAGCUUUUCAAAGAGAGAUGCCAGCCGUGAAAAUGGCACAGAAGAGCAAUGGGCUUACUUUCGGUGGAUUUCCAAGGAUAGUGGGCAGAAGGCCGAGGGCACACCUACCAACUCUCAAGGUCAAACUGCCUUUGUUUUCGCCCUUAUCAGACACGGCUACUUACAGGGGCCAUUUGACAGCUUGCAGAAUGCCAGUAAUUAAGAUGGCUGCCAAAUGGCAAUGGAUAGCGCCAGCAGUUAAGAUGGCUGCCAAAUGACCUCUAGAAGCUAUUUUCAUGUUAAGGAGUCUCUUGGUUAUUAAAUGCUACCUCGCUGUAGGUUCUGCCAGUAGUAGCAAUGGCUGCCUCUUACCUCCCCAGGUUCUAUCUAGCUGCCCUGUCCCCAAUAUUGCUCCUAGUCUGCGAAGUUCCCUAUGCCUCAGAAAUAGACAGUCAAGAUUUGAUAGGGUUACUCAGUGCUUCUGGUUCUCACUGUGCCUGGACAGUGCUAAGAUUCUGAAUUUAUUGCUUCCUCAUUUUUAUUAGCACCUAAUACAUUUCAGAUCCAACCCUAGGAGCCGGGG